rnacentral:tRNA from 2 species
GCCAGUGUAGCUCAGUUGGUAGAGCAAUUGUUUCGUAAACAAUAGGUCACCGGUUCAAGUCCGGUCACUGGCUCCA